AAGAUAUUAGUAAAAUUAUUACAUGGUCUCGUCAGGACCGAGUUGUGAGUUAAAACCCCACAUACCUUG